CGCCCUUAGAGUUUGAUCAUGGCUCAGAUUGAACGCUGGCGGCAGGCCUAACACAUGCAAGUCGAACGGUAAGAGAGUUUGCUCUUGACGAGUGGCGGACGGGUGAGUAAUGUCUGGGAAACUGCCCGAUGGAGGGGGAUAACUACUGGAAACGGUAGCUAAUACCGCAUAACGUCUUCGGACCAAAGUGGUUCGUCACGCCAUCGGAUGUGCCCAGAUGGGAUUAGCUAGUAGGUGGGGUAAAGGCUCACCUAGGCGACGAUCUCUAGCUGGUCUGAGAGGAUGACCAGCCACACUGGAACUGAGACACGGUCCAGACUCCUACGGGAGGCAGCAGUGGGGAAUAUUGCACAAUGGGCGCAAGCCUGAUGCAGCCAUGCCGCGUGUAUGAAGAAGGCCUUGGGGUUGUAAAGUACUUUCAGCGGGGAGGAAGGCGAUGCGUUAUCGCGUCGGAUGACGUUAC
rnacentral:rRNA from 1 species